rnacentral:rRNA from 1 species
ACGAACGCUGGCGGCGUGCUUAACCCAUGCAAGUCGCAUGGUGAAGCCCUUCGGGGUGGAUCAGUGGCGAACGGGUGAGUAACACGUGAGCAACCUGCCCCUGGCUCUGGGACAACCACUGGAAACGGUGGCUAAUACCGGAUACGACCCGCCUCGGCAUCGAGUGUGGGUGGAAAGUUUUUCGGCUGGGGAUGGGCUCGCGGCCUAUCAGCUUGUUGGUGAGGUGAAGGCUCACCAAGGCGACGACGGGUAGCCGGCCUGAGAGGGCGACCGGCCACACUGGGACUGAGACACGGCCCAGACUCCUACGGGAGGCAGCAGUGGGGAAUAUUGCACAAUGGGCGAAAGCCUGAUGCAGCGACGCCGCGUGAGGGAUGACGGCCUUCGGGUUGUAAACCUCUUUCAGCUCCGAAGAAGCGAAGGUGACGGUAGGAGCAGAAGAAGCACCGGCUAACUACGUG